AGAGUUUGAUCAUGGCUCAGAACGAACGCUAGCGGCAGGCUUAAUACAUGCAAGUCGAGGGGCAGCAGGGGUGUAGCAAUACACUCGCUGGCGACCGGCAAACGGGUGCGGAACACGUACGCAACCUACCCAUAACUGGGGAAUAGCUCGGGGAAACCCGGAUUAAUACCUCGUAACAUUAUGAAGUGGCAUCACUUUGUAAUUAUAGCUCCGGCGGUUAUGGAUGGGCGUGCGCCUGAUUAGGUAGUUGGCAGGGUAACGGCCUACCAAGCCUACGAUCAGUAACUGGUGUGAGAGCACGACCAGUCACACGGGCACUGAGACACGGGCCCGACUCCUACGGGAGGCAGCAGUAAGGAAUAUUGGUCAAUGGACGCAAGUCUGAACCAGCCAUGCCGCGUGAGUGAAGAAGGCCUUCGGGUUGUAAAGCUCUUUCGACGGGGACGAUGAUGACGGUACCCGUAUAAGAAGCCCCGGCAAACUUCGUGCCAGCAGCCGCGGUAAUUC
rnacentral:rRNA from 1 species